CCCUAUUAUAUUUAAGAUCUAUUAAAGUAUAAGGUAGUAUUUGGUAAAAUCAGGAAACUUAAAGAAUUUGGCGGUAUUAAUUCUUAUUAGAGGAAUAUGUUUUAUAAAUGAUAAUCCACAAAUAUCUUACUUAAUUUUAUUUCUUUGUAUAUCUCCGUCUAAAAAAAUUAUUUAAAAAUAUAUUUUGAAUAUCAUUAGUGUUUUAAGUCAGGUCAAGGUGCAGGUUGUAAUUAAGAUAAAAUGUAUUACAAUAAAAUUAUUUAUGGAUUAUUCUUGAAAUUAGUUUAAAUAAAAUGGAUUUAAUAGUAAAUAUAUUUGUAUUAAAAUAUAUUGAUU
rnacentral:rRNA from 1 species